rnacentral:rRNA from 1 species
AUACGGAGGAUCCGAGCGUUAUCCGGAUUUAUUGGGUUUAAAGGGUGCGCAGGCGGCCAUUUAAGUCAGCGGUUAAAUCGUGGGGCUCAACCCCAUUCUGCCGUUGAUACUGGGUGGCUUGAUUGCGGUCGAGGUUGGCGGAAUUCGUUGUGUAGCGGUGAAAUGCAUAGAUAUGACGAAGAACACCGAUUGCGUAGGCAGCUGACCAGACCGCAAAUGACGCUCAUGCACGAAAGUGCGGGGAUCGAACAGGAUUAGAUACCCUGGUAGUCCGCACAGUAAACGAUGAAUACUUGUUUUCGGCGAUAUAAUGUUGGAGGCAAAGCGAAAGCGAUAAGUAUUCCACCUGGGGAGUACGCCGGCAACGGUGAAACUCAAAUGAAUUGACGGGG